CUCCUUUUGAUUAGGUGGAUUAUGUGAUAGAUCUGGACUUGUGGUAACAAUCUGUGACUGGUCAGGAGAAGGUUCCUCACGAUUAGGUGGAUUACACAUUAGAUCUGGACUUGUGGUAAUCUGUAAUUGGUUAGAAGACGGUUCUUCACGAUUAGGUGGAUUACACAACAGCUCUGGACUUGUGGUAACAAUCUGUAAUUGGUUAGAAGACGGUUCUUCACGAUUAGGGUGUUUAUAUGAUAGAUCUGCACUGUGAAGUCCUGGAUGGACAUUACAGGUAA